CGCCUCUCCCUUCCCCAUUUCAUUUGGGCGGCACUGUUCUAACCAGUAGAGAGACAGAGAGCGAGCGAGAGGGAGAGCGACGGAGAAGAGGAGGCGGUUCCGCCGUGUUCAUGUCGUUCCGGAGACCCCCCUCUGCUGGAGCUUGACUUCUUUUUGAUUCACGGUUGCCCGGUUGGUUACUGGUGCUGUUGUGGAUUUUGUUAGCUCUUGUAGAUGCAAUUGUUGGUUCUGCUGCGGGAAGGUGAAAUCAUUGAAUAGGAAAUUAUCAUGUGUUGGAAGAAGGAAUGUGUUGCUCCUUGUUAUAUAAGACCAUAAACUAUUCUGGCAGCCUAUAUAUUGUUUUAUAGUUCUGAACUACUAAGAGAAUCUCACACAUAAUACAAUUUUUUACUGUCUACUAAAGACAAGUUCAUGUAAAAGGUGUCUGUACAUCAGAAGGGUGAGCAAAAGGAGUAGGAGAGUUUCUGACAUGUGGAUCAUAUCUUGGAUGAUCUUCCUCUGUCCUCCCCCAAAUAUUGGCAGCUGCUCUUCCCUUUUGAUUCUCUCCAGGAACGCAACCGACCGGUUCAAGUGGAAUGGAACAUCUUUUCAACAACAUUGGCCUGCUUAAUCUUUACGGGCACCGUAGUAGAUUAUAAUUGUAUCUAUUCCCCCCUCUCUAUAUACUCCCAAGGAUUCUUGACGAUGUGCGGUAAGACGUCUGCUAUCAAUCAAAUUUGGAAUUCUUGAGAAGGAACCCCUCCCACUGGAGUUGUGGCAUCCACGCACAUGAGGUGCAACUGUGCCAUGGUGGCAUGGCUUUGGAGCAGGAGCUAUGCUUGCUGCCACCGCGAGAUAUUCACGCACAUCCACAUAUGCGCCAUCCAUACACAUGAGGUGCAUCUGUCCCAUGGUGUCCUCGCUUUAGAGCUGGAGUUGUGCUUGCUACUUCCGCGAGAUAUUCAUGCACAUCCACAUAUGUGCCUGACCUUGCCGCCUCUACCUGAUGUGAUGCGAUUUUGGCACAUGCAAUGCUGAAGAGGCACGUGACAAUUUCCAUUUGCCUAUGCUUUCUUUUACUAUUCUUUUCUUUUCAUACAUGUUCAUUACGCUUGGUUACGGCAACGAGAUAUCAUCUAAGGAAUGAUUAAUCAUCAAGAGGUGUACAAGGUAAAGCAAGGAAUA